CCCCUCUCGGGGUCGCACCUGGAGAGUUUCCAGUCCUCUACCAGCCUCGACUACAAGAGGGUGAGUCAAGCAGAGGCCUACCCAUUCCGUUCCUAGCUUGGCCAGUGGAUAGCGAGUGGAAGGCCACCUGCUACAAGU
rfam:Ornithorhynchus anatinus chromosome 20, whole genome shotgun sequence.